UACGAAGGGGGCUAGCGUUGCUCGGAAUUACUGGGCGUAAAGGGCGCGUAGGCGGAUGUUUAAGUCGGGGGUGAAAGCCCAGGGCUCAACCCUGGAAUUGCCUUCGAUACUGGACAUCUUGAGUGCGGGAGAGGUGAGUGGAACUCCUAGUGUAGAGGUGGAAUUCGUAGAUAUUAGGAAGAACACCAGUGGCGAAGGCGGCUCACUGGUCCGGUACUGACGCUGAGGUGCGAAAGCGUGGGGAGCAAACAGG
rnacentral:rRNA from 1 species